ACUAUAUUGUCAGUUCCUCUUUCUUUUUGUUCUAUUAAAUUGGCAUCUCCUGGCAUAUCUUCUUAUCCUGCUCCAAUUGAAUAUUUUUAGUAUAUAAUAAUUGAUAUUUGUAUGCUUUGUCCGAGUACUGGAAAUGUGGAAUUCACACACAUUGUUGAUUAUUUUGUUCCUUUUCCUGGAAUUUGAUUUUGCCAUUUUAAAUGGGAUUAUGUAUAAUGCCAUCUAAUCUUUUAUCCUAUGUCUGUAUGUUUUCCACGGAUUUGGAUUCUCUCAUGUUGUGUAAACACGACCUAUCAUGUUUGCAACCCAACCCUUGAAUUUGAAAUGGAUAGUUGGGAUUGUAUUGUGUUAACAUGACCUGUCAUGAGAGGAUCUUGAUCCUUUUUCCAUUGUUGUUUCCAUUAGGUUCAAAAGACAGCUUUGUUCUAUAACUUUUCUCUUUUUCCUUCAUACCUGUCCUUGCAUUGCCCUCUACUAUAGGAGUAGCUUGUUUUUUUGUUAAUAGGAAGACUAGAGUAUCAUUAUGAUGGGUUUUUCUAACUUCUUAAGUUGGAAGGAUCAAUAGAAUGUGGAUUUUGAUUGUUGAACAAUGCCCGUGGAAUAGUGUUAUUGGUUGUAUUAGAGGUGCUUCUUGGCCUUUUGUCACCUGGCUGGCUAUAUGAGGGAUGGGGAUUUGGAUGCUAACAAAGGCAAAGUGGAAAUGUUUAAACAAAGGAAGACAGCAAGCAAUACAAUGCAGGAACAAGUUAUUCCUGUUUUUUGUCUAACUGAAAUUGUUUAUAACGGUUCAGAUUUUAUGAGUUAGAUAAUGUUGGACGGGUUAGACUGAAAAUUUCCCUUGGUUCAAACGGUAGAGGCAGCUGUUCCUGCUUUAGUAAUGGGGUCAAGCUCCCUGUGAAUUGUGAACAAUUUCUUUGGUUUAUAAUAUAUUAUGGAAGAAUAAUGUGAGAAUCAAUUGCAU
rnacentral:misc_RNA from 1 species